UACGUAGGUGGCAAGCGUUACUCGGAAUCACUAGGCGUAAAGCGCAGGUAGGCGGUUCGGUAAGUCUUUUGUGAAAGCUCCUGGCUUAACUGGGAGAGGUCAAGGGAAACUACCGGGCUCGAGUGUGGCAGAGGAAGCUGGAAUUCCCGGUGUAGCGGUGAAAUGCGUAGAUAUCGGGAGGAAUACCUAUGGCGAAAGCAGGCUUCUGGGCCAUCUCUGACGCUGAUCUGCGAAAGCUAGGGGAGCAAACAGG
rnacentral:rRNA from 1 species